rnacentral:lncRNA from 1 species
GUCAGGUGGCCAAUGUCAUACAAAACCAAAUUAAAAUAUAAAUUUAAUUAACAAAACAAAAUAAAGUAAAUUCAACAAAAAAUGUAAUAUGAAAUGAGAACACAAAUGUAACUAAAUAAACACACACGGAACAAAACAAAAUGUCAUGAAAUAAACAUAAAUCAAACAAAUUUCGGCCUGCACACUUUCCGCACACUGCCCGGAUACGUUCCUCGUUG